CCUACGGGGGGCAGCAGUGGGGAAUAUUGCUCAAUGGGGGAAACUCUGAUCCAGCGACGCCGCGUGAGUGAAGAAGUAAUUCGUUAUGUAAAGCUCUAUCAGCAGGGAAGAAAAUGACGGUACCUGAGUAAGAAGCCACGGCUAACUACGUGCCAGCAGCCGCGGUAAUACGUAGGGGGCAAGCGUUAUCCGGAUUUACUGGGUGUAAAGGGAGCGUAGACGGGAGUGCAAGUCUGGAGUGAAAGGUGGGGGCUCAACCCCCGGACUGCACUGGAAACUGUACGGCUGGAGUGCAGGAGAGGUAAGUGGAAUUCGUGGUGUAGCGGUGAAAUGCGUAGAUAUUAGGAGGAACACCGGUGGCGAAGGCGGCUUACUGGACUGUAACUGACGUUGAGGCUCGAAAGCGUGGGGAGCAAACAGGAUUAGAUACCCCGGUAGUC
rnacentral:rRNA from 1 species